rnacentral:lncRNA from 1 species
AUACUAGUUGGUUCAUAACUGCUGAGCCACAAUGGGAACUCCUCCCCCUGUCCUGAUGUUGGGAUUCCGAGUGGGAUUGCUUCAAAUGUCUCAGAAACACUUCACGGGUUCUUCCUGCCCAGUUCUGAGUCCCUGUGGGUCCGACCGCAGCCCUUCUGAGCGAAGGCUGGAGGGUCCCGGCUUGACCUGUGCUGCUGCAGCAGACCUGAGCCUUGGCCUGGCGGGCCCCCCUUCCUCCUCCCUAACCAGGCCUUCCUUCUCCUCACCCUGCUUCCACAUGACAUGCUUCUGAUGUGACUGAGCCCACAGCCUGGCUCCAUGGGCGGCCACAUUGCCAGGCCUGCCCAUCCUUCUUGCCACAGUGACUGGCUCAGGGGAAGGUGUGUGAUCAAGGUGGCCCGAAGAGUGUCAGGCAGGGAGUUCUCACUGCGGCUCAGCGAGUCAAGAACUUGACUAGUAUCCAUGAGGAUGUGGAUUCAACCCCUGACCUCACUCAGUGGGUUAACGAUCUGGUGUUGCCCAAAGUGGCCGUACUAAGCACCUCACUGAGAGAACCUGCCUAAGAAUGAAGUUGCCACAGAUUUCAGCAGUGAUGGAGGGAUGCUUUUGCCUUUUCCUGAGCCCCUGGGUCAAAUCAUGCCUGAAGUCCAUUUAACUCCUAGCCCUCAGUUACGUAAGUCCAUACACUGUCCUCCAUUCUUUAUAGACUCAGCUAAAAUACACAUAGAAUUUAUCAUCUUUUUUUUUAAGCUGUGCCUACGGCAUGCGGAAGUUCCUGAGCCAGGGAUCAAACCCGUGCCAUGGCAGAUCCUUCACCUGUGCCAGAUCCUUAAGCCCCCGCCCCCUAAGAGAACGCCAUCUUCGCCAUUUUAGAGUGUGCGGUUCGGUGGUGCAAAGAGCAGUCACACAUGUGCAAACACCACCACCACCUCCAGACUCUCCUCAUCCUGCAAAACGGAAACUGUCUACCCCUCAACACGUCCCACUCCCCAGCCCCUGCCAAGCACCCUUCUACUUUCUGCCUCUAUGAAUUUGAUGGUUUUCCCCUUUUUUUUUUAAGUCUUUUGUCUUUUUAGAGCCACGCCCACGGCAUAUGGAGGUUCCCAGGCUAAGGGUAGGAUCAGAGCUGUAGCUGCCGGCCUACACCACAGCCACAGCAACGCGGGAUCCGAGCCGUGUCUUCGACCCACACCACAGCUCACGGCAACACUGGAUCCUUAACCCACGGAGAAGGGCCAGGAAUCAAACCGGCAUCCUCAUGGACACUAGUCAGGUUCGUUAACCACUGAGCCAUGACGGGAACUCUUUGACUGUUUUCGUUAAAUUCCUCAAAUGAGUGGAAUUACACGGUAUUUGCACGUUUUGUGCCUGACUUAUUGCCCUUAACGUAAUCUCGUUAAGGUUCACCCACGCUGUAGCCUAGGCUGGACUCUCUUUCCUUCUUUCUGGCCACACCCGUGGCAUGCGGGCCAGGGAGUGAACCUGCGCCCAAGUAGUGACCUGAGCCACAGCAGUGACCACGACAGAUCCUUAGCCACUACUCACUGGGGAACUCCUCUCUUUCCUUUCUCAGGCUGGCUCAUGCCCACUCCACGCACAGAUCACAGACCACUUGUCCAGCCCCGUCUGUGGACAAGUAGGCCGCUUCCACCCUUCUGCUCCUGUGAGGAAGGCUGCUGGAGCCAGGACGCAAUGGGCUCCUGGUGCUGAUAAAGGUGCACCGAUUCAGCAGGGCGGCCUCCCUUCCUGGGGGGCAGCCUCCGCCCACCUCUGCCACUGUCCUCCGUCAGGCGCCCAGCACUGCCUGCCUGGGGGCCUCUGUCUUCAGGAGUGAAAGCCCUGCCCUCCUGCCCCACACACACUGGGCCCAGGCUUCCUGUUCCCAGAGGCGGGGGCUGCGCUGGUCUCGGCAGCAGGGGGUCUUCCCAGUAGAAUCACUGGCCUUCCUGCCUGGUAGGUCCUACGAGCCAGCACCCCCAGCCACCCUCCCCCCGCCCCCGGCCCCACAGACAGGGGCACAGGGUCGCAGUGAGAAGGUGGUGGGAGCCACACGGGCGGCCCCAGAGACCACCCACCCACCGCCCUGCGGCUGCCCUUUAACCACAAGGGAGAAGAGGGCUCCACGUAGGGUCACCUGGGCGACUCCCAGAGGAGGCGCAGGAUUAAGUCACCAGUAACGGGGCAGACAGACAGCUGGUCUCCCAGAGGGACGCGCUGAGUUCCUGCCAAAAACGCAGAACCAAGAAACAACAAGGUCCAGGCUAAGGGGCCUGUGAAUCACCACGGGGGGUGGGGUGGGGGUCCAGGUGGAGGGAGACGGGAGAUGGGGUGACAGAGGCAAGGUGAGGACGGGGCAGGGCCUGAACCAGCAGGGUGGGCAUCUUCAAGUGGCAGGUAAGGGUUUAGCAUCGCAGUCAAGACCAGAGCUGACGGGAGAGAAACAACGUCGCGUCCCCGGCUCCCAGGCGGCAGCGGUCACCAGGAGUGUCCUUGUGCCAGGGACAUGGUCUCUCCGCGUGCAGGUGACAUUUUCUCCAAACAGUUCAGGGCAGCGAGGGAGAGAGGGAGGGAGGAAGAGAAGGAGGGAGGGGGGAGGAAGGCAGGCCGCGCCCUCGGGGAGCGGGGGGGCAGGGGGGGGGUGCGUGCGAAUGUGCCCCAAGGUUACAAACCCGCGUCUACACUGUGAGUGCACCGACACAAAAGAUCCACAACAGGCAGGUCCACACAGACCAGGCCGACGAGGAGUGGUUUCCGAGGGGUGAGGGGAUGGGGAUUGGGGGACAGUUCAGAGGCGCGGGGCUUCUUUUGGGGUGAUCAAAAACUCCUCUACUAGAAGUGGUGACGGACGCACGAGCUUAGUGUAAACACACCAAGGAUAAAACCCAACCUAACACCAAACCGCACCCUUCCCAGGGUGAACCGUGGGCGCGGUGAGUUCAAGCUCCCCGAAGGCGUUCAAAAGCCCUGCUAAAGCCCAGGGAGGGUCACCAGACCGCUGCCUCUGGCUGGAGCAUCAAGCUAAAUCGUGGAGAAGGGGGGUGAGAAUCGGCCCAACUCUGCUCACCCUGCCUCCCCGGCCUGAACCAAACCAGGGCUCCUGACCCUGGCGUCCUCCUCAGCUCGCCCACUGGCGCCCCUGCGCCCCGAGAGGCUCCGAGGCCACCCCGCCUGAGGGCCCCAGCCUUCCCACCCGGCCCAGGGCACUGCAACCAGAGCCAGGCCGGGAAUCCGGGGAUCGCCUCGGAUGCGACGGUAUCUUCUUCAUCAGCCUCGCUGCCCCUCCACGGGGCCCUCCAGACCCCCACCCCGGGCCCUGAGCUCACACCUGCUCAUCCACUGAACCCUGGCCACCGCCCUGUGCUCUACGAAUGAGCCAGUCGCUGCCACAGCCGGGACCCGAACCCAGGAAGCCGGACUCCAGGAGCUCCCACGGGAGCCCAGGUGGAGCUGUGAGGCGGUUCACUGCCCCCCCCGUCCCCCCUCCAAGUCCUCUGUCUCCAGUGCCGUUGGGCCACGGCCUCCCCCAGGCACCCAGCACACCCACCAGCCAAGUUGGCUCCUCUGAGGGGGGGGAGGUGGUCACAGCCCCUCUGAGAACCUGCUAGAAGUAACGCGCUCCCCUAGAAAGGGAACCUGACCAGAUUCCGAGUUCGGGGAUGGGGGGGUCCUCGGCCCCACAUUAAGGACCCUUGGGGCUCAGUGAGCCUGAACACAGGGGAGGCCAGUCCCUCAGCAGCCUCUGCUUUCCUCUGCCUCCACCCAGUGAAGCUCCUGAGACCUGGCAUCUUACCUAACAGACCCCUGGACAAGCCCCACCGCCACCUCCCCACUCAGAGGACCAGGCGACACUUCAGAUCCACGUUGCCGUCGGAGCUCCUGUUCUGGGCCCAGCGGUGGCACGCGCCUUUCAUCUGGUUACUGCUUAAAUGCUACCUGUUCCAAGCAACCUGGGGGUGGGGACACUGAAACCCACCGCCGCUCCCCCAUCCCCCAGGCCCACCUCGGCGGGUGAUCUCGGCCUUCAGCAGCCCUUCCAUGGCGUCGGACUCGGCCAGGUCCAGGGGCAGGUCCCCAUCACUGUUGACCGAGGCGAUGUUGGCCCCGUGGCUCAGGAGGUACCUGGGGGCGGGGCAAGGUCAGGGCGGAGGGGUCCAGGCCGGGCCCCGUCCGGUCUCACCCUCCCCGCCUCACCUGGCGAUGUCCAGGUAACCACAGGAGGCGGCCACGUGCAGGGGCGUCCAGCCCUCGUUGUCCGCCUGGUUCACCGUGGCGCCCUGCUCCACCAGGAAGCGCACCACCUCCAGGUUCUCGUCGAUGCAGGCCUGGGGGCGGGACAGUGCUGUCGGCCUCACUGGUCCAGGCCCCGCACGCCCAGCCACGCCACUUAAGGAGAAAGCCCCGAAGCACACACCCUGCCCCCCCCCCCGAAGUCCCCUCCAGCCACCCGGCUGUUGAAGACCCCCCCCCAGCUUCCAUCCUCUGGGGUCAGCCCAGCAGCUGCAGCUCACUGAGAACGUGAGACAAGGCUCCCAGCAACCCUGCAGCAGGAAGCGGAUGGGGGGGGCUGCACAUCCAGGUGCAGGAAUCCUGGACGGUGCUGACCAACCAGAGGCACGCAGUCACCACCAGAGGAUGCGGCCUCCAGUGAUGGACCAGAGGGAAGAGGCCCAGCCCCUCCCCCCUCAGACCUGGGGUCCAGCCCCCAGCCCCUGCUCAGACCCUCUACAGAACCGACCAUGGCGCUGCCUUGUACUUGGAGGGGAGACAGCUGGACCCUGGGGCCCAGGGCUGUGCAGGGCUGGUAAGGCGACCAAGCCCCUAGCACCAGGGCCAGAGUGAGGGUGCUGGCAGGACCCUCACACUGGGAGAGGGGGCAGGUCAGCCUGUGCCCAGGGCCUGGGGCUGAGGUGACGCAGGCCUAUGUGCGGAGAGCAUGCUCUGCACAGGUCACUGCGCGAUGGGUUUCCACGGGCCACCCUCCCUGAUCCUGCCCCUGGCGGAGUCCAGGACAAAGCCCUUGCCCAAGCUGGCACAGCGAGUGGGGGCCAGAGCAGGAGGAGGCCCAGGGUGCAGCAAACGCUAGGUGAGCACUGGGGCCCGAGCAGGGUCUGGGGGGAUAGGGGGCCCAGGACUCCUGGGUCCUCAGGGUAAACGAAGAGCUCUCCACACCGCCCAUCUGGAGAAGGGGGAGGAAGCACCGAGGGCCAAGAGCAUGAAGUCAUGGAAACUCAGGCUGCGAGAGGGGGGCCACACGUGCCCUGGGAACAGGAUGAACUCUGGGCUCAGUUUAUUUCUACCCGGUUGUCAUGGUGAUGGGGGAGGGGGGCAAGGAGGGAGAUGGGCCUUUCCCUUUCAAGGACCUGGCUGGGCACCGGCAUCCAUGCGAAAGAUGCCUGAGGCUGGGCACCAGGGAUCCAAGAAGCCAGGCACCAGCCCCUCCUCCCUCAGACCACGAAUCUGGGUCCCCAGAUCCUCCCCCCCUCAGACCUGGGGGUCCAGAUCCCCCACUAGGGCCGGGGCACAGGGCGGGGUUCGGCCUCCUCAGGCCCGAGGUAGGAGCUGAGGCUUGAGAACCCCUGGAGACCCAACUCGAGCAGGCGGCUGCCACCUGGGGACCUGCUCCGGGGAGGACGGGGAACAGAAACCGCAGUCCCAGACACCGUGAGCAAACAUCCCGGUCAGAUGCGGGGGCUUUCCUGGGACCUGGGGCUUUCAGAGCUAAAACCAGCAUGAGCUGGUCCCCGGACACCCUCCGCUGAGCCAGAGCCCCUGCUUGCUGCUGACUGUGUGACCUCAGGCAGGGACUUCCCCUCUCCCAACACCCCUCCUGCAAAGCCCUGGCAAGUGAGUUCACGGAGGGGGAGGGGAAGGGGAGGGAUUCCCCUGACAGGCCAGCCUGGAGCGUGCUUUUGCAGGGUUUGGGCCAAGGGGGAUGUUGGGGACUGGGGCCUGGCCCAAAAAGCAGGGCUAGGAACCCCUCUGGGAAGGUCCAGGGGAGCGAGGGGCAGGGGUGGUGGCGGAGGAAAGGGGACACCAAAGCCUGAGGCUCCUUUCCUGGGCUUGCCAAGCUCUGAGACCGUGCAGCUCCUCAGGAAGUGGGCUGCUCCUUUAGAUGGAAAAAAAAUGUCCCAGAUAGCACUAGGGCCUCUGUAGGGGACAGGCCGGGGGCGGGGGAAUGGGGGGGGCCCCUUAGACCAGGGGCUGCAACUCCCCAACUGAAUGCCUAUGGCACUUGCUGAAGGAUGUGCCAGAGCCCCACCAGGGAGAGCCUGGCUACUGGCCCUGCUAACAGCUAAGAAACCUGAGGCACAGAGAGAAAAGGCACUAUUUCAAGGCCACAAAAGAGCUGAGGAGCUGAGAUCAGAACAAAGGACUAGGGGUUCCCAAGGUUGCGGGUUUGAUCCCCAGCCUCACUCAGUAGGUUAAGGACCCGGCAUUGCCAUGAGCUGUGGUGUAAGUCGCAGACUCAGCUCAGAUCUGGCAUUGCUGUGGCUGUGGUGUAGGCCGACAGCAACAGCUCUGAUUAGACCCCUAGCUGGGAACCUCCAUAUACCACGGAUGCUGCCAUAAAAAGAAAAGAAAAGAAAUAAAAAAAAAAAAAAAGAGCUCGGGACUCUUCUAUUUCCCUGAACUGCUCCUCUUCUGGGUACCUGCUCCUCUUCUGCUCCUCUUCUGGCUAAGGGGGCCUCUUCAGGCAUCCUCCCCAUUCCCGUGCCCCUACCCACGCUUCCUUCACAGGGUCCUCUCUGGGCCCCAAAGUAACCGAACCUGACGGGCUCUGGCAGGGAAGAGAGGCCUGGGGACUGGCCUGAGCUGGGAAGACUGGGAGGGAGACAGCCUCGGGGACAGAGGGAGGAGUAGAGGCUCUUCUGUGGCCUGUCCCCAAAGACCCACUGCAGCCAGGCAGGGGAUGCGAUAAAAGCCCUCAGAACCAGAGGGAAUCCUGGUUCUGGGACAUAUAGUGACUCUGGCUCUGGAACACAAGACCAAUGGAGGCAGAAAGCAAGGUGUUUUGGAAAGGUUUGGGGGCCCAGGUUGUGGAGAGAGAGGACCUAGCAGGGCUCUAGGUCCCCUGGGAAGGGGAAGUGACCGGGCCUAGGAGAACUGGCGGUGCACUCUGAAGGAGGGAGAAGCUGCCCAAAGCCACAGGAGGGCAUCCAGGCAGAGAGAGCAAGAUGACCCGAGGACAGACAGGUGGCCCAGAACCAGAAAGAGGAGGGUGCUCUGAGUGUGCCCAGAAAAAAGGGUAACGCUGCAGGCCCACACAAAGCAAGAGGACAGAGUGAAAGAGAAGUGUGUGGAGAAGGAGAAACAUCCCCAAGAGAGAGCCUACAGUGCAAGGCCAGAGGUGGCACAGAGGGAGAAUGAGGAGGGCACGCAGGUGAAGGGGGCAGGAGAGAGAGCAGGAGGUGAGCCAGGCGAGGGAAGCAUCCACUUGAGGAGCAGAGCGCCUUGAGGGCGAUGGCUCAGGAAAGAGCACCCUUACAUGGCAACAGAUGGCAGAGACCAAGGAUGAAGAGCAGAAACCUGAAGGAAAGGGCAUGGAAGGCUCGGGGGCUGGCCGAAGAAACGGCCCAGGCCAGAGAGCGGGAAAAGAAGCAGCACAGGCCCAGAAGAGAGGAGGAGGACGCUCAGGGAAAGUGGUACCUGC